AUGUGGGUCACCCUCCUGUUCCACACCCCCUUCUCCCAGCAGCCAUGUGGGUCAUCCUCCUGUCCCACAUCCAGAUCUCCCUCCAGUCAGGCUUACACCCACCUGAAUGGGAAUGGCUGCCUGCUGGAGCACCAUGGGAGUCGUGUAGUGAGACAUAGGCCGUACCACAUGCAGGUGCCGUGGGGGUGCACAGGCUAGAUUACAGCGCAGAUCAGACAAUGCCACGAAAGUGUUGCCCAGUAGCCGCAGGCUCUCCCCCACCAAGUUAAUCAACCUCUGGUCCUCUUCUCGGCCCUCAUGCUGUGCCCAGGUCAAACCCAGAAAAGCAUGAAGUUAAGAACAAGGUUGAUUGCCUUCUGAGACUAUGCCAUGUCCCCUGCCUUCAGAAGCUUCUGUAUGAACCAAAGCUUUUCCAGGAAAAAUUUCAAAUAAAUUCUAUUCAGCACAC
rnacentral:lncRNA from 1 species